CAAAACGACUCUCGGCAACGGAUAUCUCGGCUCUCGCAUCGAUGAAGAACGUAGCGAAAUGCGAUACUUGGUGUGAAUUGCAGAAUCCCGUGAACCAUCGAGUCUUUGAACGCAAGUUGCGCCCGAAGCCAUUAGGCCGAGGGCACGUCUGCCUGGGCGUCACGCAUCGCGUCGCCCCCAUCCGCGCACAGCGCCGUCGAUGGGGGCGGAUAUUGGCCUCCC
rnacentral:rRNA from 1 species